rnacentral:rRNA from 1 species
AUUGAACGCUGUCGGCAGGCCUAACACAUGCAAGUCGAACGAGUCGCGGACGGGUGUGUAAUGUCUGGGAAACUGCCCUAGGGAGAGGGAUAACUACUGGAAACGGUAGCUAAUACCGCCUACCAUCAGAUGUGCACAGCUGGGAUUAGCUCGUAGGUGGGGUAAUGGCUCACCUAGUAGACGAUCCAUAGCUGGUAUGAGAGGCUGACCAGCUAAACGUGAAGUGAGACACGGUCCAGAUGCCUACGGGAGGCAGCAGUGGGGAAUAUGGCACAAUGGGCGCAAGCCUGAAGCAGCCAUGCCGCGUGUAUGAAGAAGGCCUUCGGGUUGUAAAGUACUUGCAGCGAGGAGGCGUUACUCGCAGAAGAAGCACCGGCUAACUCCGUGCCAGCCGCCGCGGUAAUUC